CUAAUCCCUGUUUUACAAGAAAUUCACUAGAGACAUAUAGGCAUAUCUCAAUGCGGUAUCUCUACUGCUCAGAAAGGCGACGGUGCUCCCAUAGACAGCGCAAGUCGACUCACAGUGGAAGUCAAUGAAAUGAAAGGCGUCACCAUCAUAAGGACUGGUUUUCAGGGUAAACGGAAUGUCAACAAAACGUCACUUCGUUUGCCCAACGCUGAAUGAUGAGAGUGAUUUGAUUUUUAAAGGUCGAUUCGCACUCGCUUGACAGAAAGGAAAGGAACAUCAAAAUAUUCCACAAUUCAUGUCCAAUUUCGUAUUCACUUAACGGGAAGAGACAGAACAUCAAGGUCACAGAACAAUAAGAUAGACGAAAUAUUCUGUCCAAGUUUAACGAUACUGAAGCAGAGAAUGACGUUACUACUUCUAGUUGCCUGGGGGUGAACUUCGAAUAUGGGAAAAUAUUAUUGCCUUUCGAAAUACGAGUAUUAGUGCGUAUAAUUACGAUGAGAAAGGUAGAAACGAAAAUUUCAAAAGUAACAAUCAAUCGGAUAGCCAUGUGCGUGUACUCGCAAAAAAAUUACGUUAUGGACAUGGUACAAACGCAUCUAGUUACGUGAAACCAGGAACACCUAUCCACGAAAUUAUAAAAAAACAUAAAAGCCGGAACUAAAUCAAAUGCACAGUGAUAGUGGGGAAAGCCAAUGAUGUUUACCAACGUGAACUAUCGAGUGCCGUCGAAAACGUAACGGAAAUACUGGAUACCAAUCAGAGUAAACAAUGUUCAUCAUUGGAAUUCCGCAUAGACCAUACCACAUAAACGAUUCGUGUGUAAACAAAGAAAUCAUGAAAGCCAACAAACAGUUCGAGAAGAUAUGCAAAAUGUAUGAAAAUUUCUACCUAUUAACUACCUAAAGAGAGACAAUUUUACAAGACAUGGUAUGCACUUAAACAGUAUAAUAGUACAGCAACCACCACCAACUGCAGCAGUGAAACCAACAAAAACUACAGCAAAAAAAAAAAAAAACCACUGUCAAUAUCAGAAACAAAAGCACCAUCAUCAGCUGAAAUUGCACAGCCUUUACCAGCGACAGAAAACAGAGCAUCGAGUGAAUCGAGACAAUCCUCAUCAGAUGUGGCAGGAACUACAGAUGCAGCAACAUCAUCUCUAUCAACAGCAGAACCACCUUCAUCAGAGACAACAACAGAGCCACUGUAACAAGUGGUGAUAGCAUCAGCAUUGCCAGAAUCAGGACUAUCAUCAUCACAUGAACAAGCAACAAGGGAAGAAGCAACAACAGAAGAAUCAACAACAUCAACAGAAGUAACAACAGCAGAAGAAUCAAUAGGAACCACUCAUAAAAAAAGAAAAACUUCACCACAUGCCAUCUUUAGGAUUUUUUAGUAGAAACUGGGAGGAAAAAACCAUUAAGAUAAUUAAUCUACAAAAAGUGGUGUCUGGCCAGUUUAGAGUAGAUAACUUUGAUAACAUCACAUCCGGAAUAGCAAAAAAUAACCUUAUUAUGCAUUUGAAUAUUGGAGGUUUAUCAAGUAAUCUGGUCAGUAAGCUUUAUGACUUAGAACUAUUUCUAGAGAGAGCAAAAUGGUCUGUAAAGGUUAUUCGCUUAAGUGAACAUUGGCUUAGAGAUGAAAAUAUAAAUUUAUUGAACAAACUUACAGCUUAUGAAGUAGCAGCUAGCUUCUGUAGAUACAAUGGGUAUAGUGGUCCAUGUAUUCUGGUUCAUUCAUCAGUAAAAUACCAAAUGAAGAACGCACAUUUGUGAGUUUCUGCGUAGAACUUAAGGACUGUAACAUGCUUAUAUCGUACUCCUAGUUACUCAAUCCCCUGCAGUUUUCUGGUUAAACUUGAAAAUUUACUCCACCAACUCAAAACUGAAAAGUUAUGUAAAAACAUUGUUGUUUGUGCUGAUUUUAAUAUAUAUGUGAGAAAAAAAUGACAAAUUUGCCUUUAAGAUGAA